UCCUACGGGAGGCAGCAGUGGGGAGUAUUGCACAAUGGGCGCAAGCCUGAUGCAGCGACGCCGCGUGAGGGAUGACGGCCUUCGGGUUGUAAACCUCUUUUAGUUGGGAAGAAGCGAAAGUGACGGUACCUGCAGAAAAAGCACCGGCUAACUACGUGCCAGCAGCCGCGGUAAUACGUAGGGUGCAAGCGUUGUCCGGAAUUAUUGGGCGUAAAGAGCUCGUAGGCGGUUUGUCGCGUCUGCUGUGAAAUCCCGAGGCUCAACCUCGGGCUUGCAGCGGGUACGGGCAGACUAGAGUGCGGUAGGGGAGAUUGGAAUUCCUGGUGUAGCGGUGGAAUGCGCAGAUAUCAGGAGGAACACCGAUGGCGAAGGCAGAUCUCUGGGCCGUAACUGACGCUGAGGAGCGAAAGCGUGGGGAGCGAACAGGAUUAGAUACCCUGGUAGUCCACGCCGUAAACGUUGGGCGCUAGAUGUAGGGACCUUUCCACGGUUUCCGUGUCGUAGCUAACGCAUUAAGCGCCCCGCCUGGGGAGUACGGCCGCAAGGCUAAAACUCAAAUGAAUUGACGGA
rnacentral:rRNA from 1 species